GUCCAGACUCCUACGGGAGGCAGCAGUGGGGAAUAUUGCACAAUGGGGGAAACCCUGGUGCAGCGACGCCGCGUGAGUGAAGAAGUAUUUCGGUAUGUAAAGCUCUAUCAGCAGGGAAGAUAAUGACGGUACCUGAGUAAGAAGCCCCGGCUAACUACGUGCCAGCAGCCGCGGUAAUACGUAGGGGGCAAGCGUUAUCCGGAUUUACUGGGUGUAAAGGGAGCGUAGACGGCAUGGCAAGUCUGAAGUGAAAGCCCGGGGCUCAACCGCGGGACUGCUUUGGAAACUGUUAAGCUGGAGUGCAGGAGAGGUAAGUGGAAUUCCUAGUGUAGCGGUGAAAUGCGUAGAUAUUAGGAGGAACACCAGUGGCGAAGGCGGCUUACUGGACUGUAACUGACGUUGAGGCUCGAAAGCGUGGGGAGCAAACAGGAUUAGAUACCCGUGUAA
rnacentral:rRNA from 1 species